UAAGUGACUAAGCGUACACGGUGGAUGCCUUGGCAGUCAGAGGCGAUGAAAGACGUAGUAACUUGCGAUAAGCCCAGAUUAGGUAGUAACAACCAUUUGAGUCUGGGAUUUCUGAAUGGGGAAACCCACGUGCAUAAGCACGUAUCCUUACCUGAAUACAUAGGGUAAGGAGGCGAACCGGGGGAACUGAAACAUCUAAGUACCCCGAGGAAAAGAAAUCAACCGAGAUUCCGAAAGUAGCGGCGAGCGAAAUUGGACUAGCCCUUAAGCUUUACACGCGUUAGACGAACGGUCUGGAAAGUCCGACGAUACAGGGUGAUAGUCCCGUAGUUGACGACGUGUGUUCAGUGAAAUCGAGUAAGGCGGGACACGUGAUAUCCUGUCUGAAUAUGGGGGGACCAUCCUCCAAGGCUAAAUACUACUGACUGACCGAUAGUGAACCAGUACCGUGAGGGAAAGGCGAAAAGAACCCCUGUGAGGGGAGUGAAAUAGAACCUGAAACCGUGUACGUACAAGCAGUAGGAGCAGGCUUUGUCCUGUGACUGCGUACCUUUUGUAUAAUGGGUCAGCGACUUAUAUUCAGUGGCAAGGUUAACCAUCUAGGGGAGCCGUAGGGAAACCGAGUCUUAACUGGGCGUUCAGUCUCUGGAUAUAGACCCGAAACCAGGUGAUCUAGCCAUGGGCAGGUUGAAGGUUGAGUAACAUCAACUGGAGGACCGAACCGACUAAUGUUGAAAAAUUAGCGGAUGACUUGUGGCUAGGGGUGAAAGGCCAAUCAAACCUGGAGAUAGCUGGUUCUCCCCGAAAGCUAUUUAGGUAGCGCCUCGGACGAAUACUACUGGGGGUAGAGCACUGUUAAGGCUAGGGGGUCAUCCCGACUUACCAACCCUUUGCAAACUCCGAAUACCAGUAAGUACUAUCCGGGAGACACACGGCGGGUGCUAACGUCCGUCGUGGAGAGGGAAACAACCCAGACCGCCAGCUAAGGUCCCAAAUUACUACUAAGUGGGAAACGAUGUGGGAAGGCUCAGACAGCCAGGAUGUUGGCUUAGAAGCAGCCAUCAUUUAAAGAAAGCGUAAUAGCUCACUGGUCGAGUCGGCCUGCGCGGAAGAUGUAACGGGGCUAAGUAGUAAACCGAAGCUGCGGCAAUGUGCUUUUGCACAUUGGGUAGGGGAGCGUUCUGUAAGCGGUUGAAGGUGUGUGGUAACGCAUGCUGGACGUAUCAGAAGUGCGAAUGCUGACAUGAGUAACGAUAAAGGGGGUGAAAAACCUCCUCGCCGGAAGACCAAGGGUUCCUGUCCAACGUUAAUCGGGGCAGGGUAAGUCGACCCCUAAGGCGAGGCCGAAAGGCGUAGUCGAUGGGAAACGGGUUAAUAUUCCCGUACUUCUUACAAUUGCGAUGGGGGGACGGAGAAGGCUAGGUGGGCCUGGCGACGGUUGUCCAGGUUCAAGUGCGUAGGCUUAAGAGUUAGGUAAAUCCGGCUCUUUUUAAGGCUGAGACACGACGUCGAGCUACUACGGUAGUGAAGUCAUUGAUGCCAUGCUUCCAGGAAAAGCCUCUAAGCUUCAGAUUGUAAGGAAUCGUACCCCAAACCGACACAGGUGGUCGGGUAGAGAAUACCAAGGCGCUUGAGAGAACUCGGGUGAAGGAACUAGGCAAAAUGGUACCGUAACUUCGGGAGAAGGUACGCUCUUGAUGGUGAAGUCCCUCGCGGAUGGAGCUGACGAGAGUCGCAGAUACCAGGUGGCUGCAACUGUUUAUUAAAAACACAGCACUGUGCAAAAUCGUAAGAUGACGUAUACGGUGUGACGCCUGCCCGGUGCCGGAAGGUUAAUUGAUGGGGUUAGACUUCGGUCGAAGCUCUUGAUCGAAGCCCCGGUAAACGGCGGCCGUAACUAUAACGGUCCUAAGGUAGCGAAAUUCCUUGUCGGGUAAGUUCCGACCUGCACGAAUGGCGUAAUGAUGGCCACGCUGUCUCCACCCGAGACUCAGUGAAAUUGAAAUCGCUGUGAAGAUGCAGUGUACCCGCGGCUAGACGGAAAGACCCCGUGAACCUUUACUACAGCUUGGCACUGAACAUUGACCCUACAUGUGUAGGAUAGGUGGGAGGCUUUGAAGCACGUACGCCAGUAUGUGUGGAGCCGUCCUUGAAAUACCACCCUUGUAGUGUUGAUGUUCUAACGUCGACCCCUUAUCGGGGUUGCGGACAGUGCCUGGUGGGUAGUUUGACUGGGGCGGUCUCCUCCCAAAGAGUAACGGAGGAGCACGAAGGUGGGCUAAUCACGGUUGGACAUCGUGAGGUUAGUGCAAUGGCAUAAGCCCGCUUGACUGCGAGAAUGACAAUUCGAGCAGGUGCGAAAGCAGGUCAUAGUGAUCCGGUGGUUCUGAAUGGAAGGGCCAUCGCUCAACGGAUAAAAGGUACUCCGGGGAUAACAGGCUGAUACCGCCCAAGAGUUCAUAUCGACGGCGGUGUUUGGCACCUCGAUGUCGGCUCAUCACAUCCUGGGGCUGAAGUCGGUCCCAAGGGUAUGGCUGUUCGCCAUUUAAAGUGGUACGCGAGCUGGGUUUAGAACGUCGUGAGACAGUUCGGUCCCUAUCUGCCGUGGGCGUUGGAAGAUUGAAGGGGGCUGCUCCUAGUACGAGAGGACCGGAGUGGACGAACCUCUGGUGUUCGGGUUGUGUCGCCAGACGCAUUGCCCGGUAGCUAAGUUCGGAAUCGAUAACCGCUGAAAGCAUCUAAGCGGGAAGCGAGCCCUGAGAUGAGUCUUCCCUGAUACUUUAAGUAUCCUAAAGGGUUGUCGGAGACUACGACGUUGAUAGGUCAGGUGUGUAAGUGCUGUGAGGCAUUGAGCUAACUGAUACUAAUUGCCCGUGAGGCUUAACCA
rnacentral:rRNA from 1 species